GUCCAGCUGAUGAGUCCCGAACAGGACGAAACGCACGUCCUAGAU
rnacentral:hammerhead_ribozyme from 1 species